UAAAACGUAGGUACCGAGCGUUAUCCGGAUUUACUGGGCGUAAAGCGCGUUCAGGCGGUUUGGCAAGUCGGGCAUGAAAUCUCUCGGCUCAACCGGGAGAGGUUGUCCGAUACUGCUGGACUUGAGGGCAGUAGAGGGUGGUGGAAUUCCGGGUGUAGUGGUGAAAUGCGUAGAUAUCCGGAGGAACACCAGUGGCGAAAGCGGCCACCUGGACUGUACCUGACGCUGACACGCGAAAGCUAGGGGAGCGAA
rnacentral:rRNA from 1 species